rnacentral:tRNA from 12 species
AGGGGAAUAGCUCAAUUGGCAGAGCGUCGGUCUCCAAAACCGAAGGUUGUGGGUUCGAUUCCCUCUUCCCCUGCCA